UGCGGCCCCCGCCAGCGCCGCUUCGUCUGCGGUCCCCGCCAGCGCCGCUUCGUCUGCGGUGCCGACCAGCGCCGCUUCGUCUGCGGUCCCCGCCAGCGCCGCUUCGUCUGCGGUGCCGACCAGCGCCCUUCUGCAUGGUACCUCGCCUGAUGUAGCCACGCAGGGCGGAGAGUGGAGGGGAUUGUGUUUAUCUAUUGGUCAUCAUGCAUCAGCAGUGUGCGUCCAUCUUGUGCUCCACUGACCUAGGCGCAGUUCCAUGCUGUUCAUUGCCAUGCAGUCCCAUGUUCAAUCCACUCCUGUUCGUCUCCUCAGUCACCCGGAGACCUUGGCCUACUCCUGGUCCUCUACGCCCGCCAGCGCCUCUUCGUCUGCGGCCCCCGCCAGCGCCGCUUCGUCUGCGGUCCCCGCCAGCGCCGCUUUGUCUGCGGUGCCGACCAGCGCCCUUCUGCAGGGCACCUCGCCUGAUGUAGCCACGCAGGGCGGAGAGUGGAGGUGAGCUAUUACUGAUUAGUUUUGUCCAGGUAAAUUUAGAGUAAUCAUACACUCACUUUCUGUCUUUUUGUUAUUUUUGUCAUUGUGUGUCAGACAACUUCACCGAUAACACUGAUACAAUUAUUUUUAGGGAACCUGCUUCUUGUGUUCUCAACUUGUUUCUUUGUUGAAUCAUUUCUCCAUCAUUAUCU